rnacentral:piRNA from 1 species
UUUGCUACUGUGACAGAAGAGGG